rnacentral:rRNA from 1 species
GACGAACGCUGGCGGCGUGCUUAACACAUGCAAGUCGAACGGGCUCUGUCUGGCUGUGUGCUGGGUGGGGUUAGUGGCGACCGGGUGAGUAAUACGUGAGUAACCUGCCCUCUUCUUUGGGAUAAGCCUUGGAAACGGGGUCUAAUACUGGAUAUUCCUGUCUGGUCGCAUGGCUGGGUGGGGAAAGUUUUUUUCGGUGGGGGAUGGGCUCGCGGCCUAUCAGCUUGUUGGUGGGGUGAUGGCCUACCAAGGCGUCGACGGGUAGCCGGCCUGAGAGGGUGACCGGCCACACUGGGACUGAGAUACGGCCCAGACUCCUACGGGAGGCAGCAGUGGGGGAUAUUACACAAUGGGCGCAAGCCUGAUGCAGCGACGCCGCGUGGGGGAUGACGGCUUUCGGGUUGUAAACCUCUUUCGUCGGGGGACAAGGCUCUGCUUGGUGGUGGGGUUGAGGGUACCCGGUGAAGAAGCGCCGGCUAACUACGUG